GUGUGCUACAUUACUGAGAAUGUCCUAUUUAACUAGCUUUUAGCCCUCUAAACUGGGUCGUUUUUGUAGCAAAUUCAAUUUAGCUUCGUUUGUCAAAUUUGUCUGGGGGUGCAUAAAAAUCGCAGAAAAGCUCCAUUGUCUAUUGAAACGGUGUCAAAUGAUAGCUCUAGUCAAACUGGAACAGACCAUGUGUGCUACAUUACUGAGAAUGUCCAAUUUAACUAGCUUUUAGCCCUCUAAACUGGGUCGUUUUUGUAGUAAAUU
rnacentral:lncRNA from 1 species